UCCCUGAUGGUCCAGUGGCAAAGACUCCAUGCUCCCAAUGCAGGGGGCUUGGGUUCGAUCCCUAGUCAGGGAA
rfam:TPA: Bos taurus chromosome 14, whole genome shotgun sequence.